AUGGUGCCUCUGUCAGACUCCUCCCCUCUCUGUCUGGUUCCUGAUGCGACUCAGCUGCGACCACUUACCUCAUCACCUGCCUGUCUUCUUAAGGAGCCCCUGGACCAGUAUUCAUCGCCAGUCCGUUGCCCCUGAUGGAGUCCAUAAACACGAGUGGUCGUCUGAGUCUUCUUCAUCCACGGAUCCAAGCCACAGCAUUCCCUCCUGUCACGCCUAGAGCCUCUGCCGUAACUCUAGAGACACCACGAGCCUCUGCCGACCCACCAGUGACGUCACGGGCCACCGGACCGAACCAUCCUCGCCGCGGGUUCCUCCAAGGACGUCAACUCCACCAAGAACAAUCCACAAACCAAGAAUCAAUAUUAAAACCUUCUUUCAUUCC